CAUAAAUGAAAGUGAAAGUAAAUGCACAGAGCUGAUGUCGCCAUUUUAAAAAGACAGAAUCUUUACAAUAAUGAUUUACAAUACAGAAUAUCUUUAAUAGAAUCGUUUAUAAAUGCUAAAGCAGGAAUUUGUGUGCAGCUACCUGAUGGGAAUGUGAAUCGGUAUAUAAGUAAGAUAUGUGUUUCGUGCUGACUGCGAUUCUUCAAAACUCUAAACAGCAUGUGUUCACAUGUGACUAACUUUAUGUAUUUGAGUGAAGGCAGCUCGUAAUCUAUUUCUCCAAUUAUUUCUCUCAUUCAGCCGAAAUAUUGUGCCUUAUUGUUUUUUAAUGUAAGAACGUGCGAGGCUUCCGGUGUGUGUCAUUUACUUCCGGAUAUUUAGCUGUACAAAAACACUAUGUUAUGCUGCUUGAUAUCGCACACUGGUAUUUAUCUAAUUUUUAAAAUUCAUUAUUAUAGACACACUGGUUUGUAGCACACAUUGUUUUUUUUCCCCAUUCUUCUAGUAUUUAACUAUAGCUGCUGAUGCAUCAAAAGUCUCGCUCAUUCACAGAAAAUAGCUUACUUCCAAAAUAAGGUGGAUAAAGGCUGUUUGGUUGGCUUAGUUUUUGUGAUUGUUUGUCAGUUUCAUCUAGAGUCAGCGCCGGAGAUCAAACUGUUCAGAUCCAUCAUGGAUGAAACAUCUGGAGAUGAAGAUUUGUUUCCAGGACGCAGCUCGGUUCAUCAGAAGAGAUCAGAAGCAGAGUCCAGCUGUGUGUCUGUGAAGAGUGACUGGUCUAUGAUUGAGCCAAUAAUGUUUAACAGUGGAGAAAAACAGCCUGUUCUUAGGCCACACCCCCUACAUGCACUGUGCAUUCCUCCAUAACAUGGACAGAUCAUUUCUUGAAUCCUGCACACACAAUAUCAAAAUGUCCAUCUUGGUGAGUAUUCAUGUAAAUUACAUAAAUAUUACAAAAAAUGAUGUUUAAAACUUCCUUGUGCUGUGUG
rnacentral:lncRNA from 1 species